UACGUAGGUGGCAAGCGUUGUCCGGAGUUACUGGGCGUAAAGCGCGCGCAGGCGGCUCGUCAAGCCUGACGUGAAAGCCCCCGGCUCAACCGGGGAGGGUCGUCGGGGACUGGCGGGCUUGAGGUCGGCAGGGGUUGGUGGAAUUCCCGGUGUAGCGGUGAAAUGCGUAGAUAUCUGGAGGAACACCUGUGGCGAAGGCGGCUAUCUGGUCCAAUUCUGACGCUGAGGCGCGAAAGGUAGGGGAGCAAACAGG
rnacentral:rRNA from 1 species